CGGGCCUCGGAGCCGCGAGGGAGGCCCCGGCGCGCCCUGAGGGCCCGCGCGUCGCCCGCCUGCUCCGCAGAGGCCUCCGCCCCGCCGGCUCGCGCGCGUCCGCGGUUUCUGAGGCGCGGGGUGGGUUCGCGCCCGGGCUGCCGCCAAGCCGCGGGUGCCGGUCCGCCGCCUUCUCGGAGCGAGCCCCCGCGGCCCCUCCGCGCGCCGCGGCGGGCCGGGGCGGCGGGGCCCGGGGGUCUGCCGUGCCCCCCGCCUCGCCGAGGCCUCUCGAGGGACCGGGAACAGCCUCUCGCGUGGAAGCUGUUUCGUCUUGUGCUGCGCGGGGCCUAGGGAGCAAGAAAUUUAACCAAGUUUUAUUUCGUCUUUUUCGGAGGAGGAGCUGCCGUUCCUGGCUUCUCCCCUGACGGCCGGAGCCCCGUCCCUCGUGCGCCCGCGCUGUCGCCCGUCCCGCGGGCUUUAACUGAGCGCUUGCGCGGGCCGUCCGUGCGGUGACCCGGCCUGCGUUCCGCGGCUGCGGGAGGAACGAAACGGUAAGCGCCUGGGGUCCGGGCGGGGGUGCGCGCCGCGGGGCCGAAGGGGAGAGGCGGGGGCCGAGCUGCAGGCCUGGGUGGGAAAGGGGAGUCCGGCCGCGGACGGAGGCAGCCGGUGGCGUGGAGCCGAGCUGGGGGCGGAGGAGCUGGCGGGGCGGCCCGCUGGAGCCCCGGCCCCGCCGCCGCGCCGGCUUCGCUCUGGGCGGCCGGGAAGCCGUGGCACGGCUCGGCAGGCGACGGUGGGGAGGCGGAGCGGACGCGAGUCUGCGGAGACGGAUGGGGCUCGAGGCCCGGGCGGCGGUCGGUGGCGGGGGCAGGAGCGGACCCUGAAAGGACUGCCCGUUUGAAACGGGAGGCGGUGGAGAUCCGCACACGCGGGAGCUUCCCCCGAGCUUCGUCUUUCCGGCUGAAGGCGAAAGCGGACAUCCGCGCUCCCGCGGCUCCGCUCCCUGGAGAAGCAUCUCCAAAGGAGAAGGGUCUUUUGCAACACAUGACCGCAAUACCACUAACACAGCUAAGAAGUAACAAUUUCCUAAUAUCAAAGAUUCGUCCUUGUGUGUCCAGUAUGGUGGCUGGUAGUCACAUCUCGAGUACUUGAAUGUGACUGGUCUGGAUUGAGAUGUGCGGUGAGUGUAAAAGACACACCAGCUUUCCUGCUAAGAAGACUUAGUAGGAAAAGAACAUGGUUUGUAAUUUUGACACUAUUGAUUACAUGUUGAAACAGUAUUUUUAUAUUGUUAGAUUAAAUGCAUUAUGAAAAUUAAUCUGCUUCUUUUUACCUUUUUCAAUGAGGGUACCAGAAAACUUAAAUUUACAUAUGUGGGUAGAAUUUCUGGAAUGGAAGAUUGAGGAGCUCACCAACUCUUCUCCCAAAAAAGCAGUGAUAAAACUGGACAGAAUUGUUAAGAGCAACCAUUCCAGGACUCUGGAGGUCGACCAAAGGCAUACAACUUUUGAGAAGCG
rnacentral:lncRNA from 1 species